rnacentral:lncRNA from 1 species
UAGUCACGGAAUAAAUUCCAUUUUAUAAUAGAACAAAGGACCAAAAAUAAAAACCUAAGUUUGUAUAGAAAGUUAGAAACACAAUGACGAUGCUGGUGUGAUAUAAAUUCUGUACCCUGCAUGCUAUGAUCAUAACCACUAAGCAAGUGCUGAAGUGGUCCUAUGAUAUAAAAGAGCAUACAAAAAAACUUAAAAGGAAAAGACUUUUGUCAUAGCUUUUGUGGCGAAACACAGGCAGAUAAUCUUUGGAUAUAUAUGCCACGAAGCACAUGCGUCCGUGACACGUAAAAGCCCACUUAUAGGGGUUUGCAUGUGACACCUGUUAAAGCAAACUCCACUUUUUGCACCACCAUAAAACAAAACAAUAAAAAGAUCUCCAACACCAGCUGUCACUGCCUCAUGUUUACAGACUCCAAAACACGACAAAAACUUGUUCCUCCCAUGAAACCUGUUUCCUACCUCAAAUCUCUCUCUCUCUCUCUCUUAAGUUCUUUUGCUUGAGAGAGAUAAAGACAUCAGAGAGAAAGACAGAAACAUUGAUAGAUAGAUAAUCUGAUAGGAAAAGAAAAAUAUGAAUUAUUAGUUAAAAGGUUCAAAAUAUUACCAUUCUUUUUUUUUAGUUAAAAAAAGAUCAACCUCUUGAUAUACCGAAAAUUCAUGGAACUAACAUUUUUCUAUACACAUAAAUCCAAAAAUGGAACUCCUAAUUAUAUAUUUUAAAGACAAAAUUAUCUGUUAAUCCGUUUGGUCCUCAACUCUCGCACCGAUAAUUUGCAAAAAAUCGAUUCUGUAAACCAAAUCCAAGAGAAACUACUAGAAAAGCGAAGCAAGCAAACAAUCAUACCGUAAAAAAAAAUUAAAUUAAAUUCCGAGUGGAGUAAACCCAAAUUAACCACAUCAGAACAAACCGAAAAAAACAUUAAACAGAAGAAAAGAUCGAUAAAAUAAAUAAUGAUGAUAGUAAUAAUAUUAAUAAUGGUAGUCUGAGUCUGAGAGAGUGAAGCUAUCGAAAUGAAACCCUAAAGGACAUGAUCUCCGAGAAGGCACUAUGAACAUGAUUUCCCACCACUCACUAAUGAGAAUAAUAAAUAAUAGAAACAAAAUGUUCAGUGUCUCUAAAGAAAGUCUCGUGCUCACUAUUUAUACUACUAAAUAACAAUAAUCAUAACAUAAAACCCUAAGCCCAUACACAACUACCGGAUCUACAU